rnacentral:rRNA from 1 species
CAGUCGCCGCGGGAAUACGGAGGGUGCAAGCGUUAAUCGGAAUUACUGGGCGUAAAGCGCACGCAGGCGGUCUGACAAGUCAGAUGUGAAAUCCCCGGGCUUAACCUGGGAACUGCAUUUGAAACUGUCAGGCUGGAGUCUUGUAGAGGGGGGUGGAAUUCCAGGUGUAGCGGUGAAAUGCGUAGAGAUCUGGAGGAAUACCGGUGGCGAAGGCGGCCCCCUGGACAAAGACUGACGCUCAGGUGCGAAAGCGUGGGGAGCAAACAGGAUUAGAACCCCUGUAGUCCCUGUCUCUUAUACA